UACAGAGACUGCAAGCGUUAUUCGGAUUCACUGGGCGUAAAGGGUGCGCAGGCGGCCGUGUGUGUGAGGCGUGAAAGCCCGGGGCUUAACCCCGGAAUUGCACCUCAAACUACACGGCUAGAGCAUUGGAGAGGGUAGCAGAAUUCACGGUGUAGCAGUGAAAUGCGUAGAUAUCGUGAGGAAUACCAGAGGCGAAGGCGGCUACCUGGACAAUUGCUGACGCUCAGGCACGAAAGCGUGGGGAGCAAAAAGG
rnacentral:rRNA from 1 species